rnacentral:rRNA from 1 species
AAUAUUGCGCAAUGGAGGGAACUCUGACGCAGCGACGCCGCGUGAGCGAUGAAGGUUUUCGGAUCGUAAAGCGCUGUCCUUGGGGAAGAAGAGCGCUUUUAAGCGCCUUUGACGGUACCCAAGGAGGAAGCCCCGGCCAACUACGUGCCAGCAGCCGCGGUAAUACGUAGGGGGCGAGCGUUGUCCGGAAUUACUGGGCGUAAAGCGUGCGAAGGCGGUUCGGCAAGAAGGAUGUGAAAUCCCAGGGCUUAACCUUGGAACUGCAUUCUUAACUGCCGGGCUAGAGUAUGUCAGAGGGGGGUAGAAUUCCGCGUGUAGCAGUGAAAUGCGUAGAGAUGCGGAGGAAUACCGAUGGCGAAGGCAGCCCCCUGGGAUAAUACUGACGCUCAUGCACGAAAGCGUGGGGAGCAAAC